UCAAGAUCUCUCAAAAUUCCUGAGAUUUAAAAUACACUCAACUCCCCAGAAAUCACUCGAGGACUAACCCCCUGUUAGUUUGUUUAUUUUUAUGUUAGUGGUAGAUCCGGUGCUUGUUAUGGCAAUUAGUAACAAUCAACGGUAUCGUGACUCUGCCUGAAGGAAUAGAGCCUUUGGUGUUAUGGCAAUCUGAAGAAUCCGGAGAGGAGUGUGUGACUUCUAUCUUGAUAGUGGUAGAUCCGGUGCUUGUUCGUUUCCUCCGUCCUCAUCAACGGUAUCAUCCCUUUCUGUUAUUUUCUUACUUUACCAGUAAAGAGACUCUUUGGGAAAGCUAAUUUUAGUCUAUUGAUGUGGUUGGAGUGUUGACUUGGGAAAACUAUUGGGAGCUGAUGAUAUGGGUUUGGGGAAGACUUUACAGUCAAUCGCAUUACUGUAUACUCUUCUUCGGCAGGGAUUUGAUGGAGAGCCCAUGGCUAAAAAGGCAAUAAUUGUCACUCCUACCAGCCUUGUAAGUAAUUGGGAAUCUGAAAUUAAGAAAUGGGUCGGAGAUAGACUUCAACUUAUUGCUCUUUGUGAGAGCACCAGGGAUGAUGUUGUUUCUGGAUUAGACAGUUUCAUUAGACCGCACAGUCCAUAUCAGGCAUUAGCUGGUCUUUCAUGCAACCGACGCAUAUUAUUGUCAGGGACCCCGAUGCAGAAUGAUCUGGAAGAGUUCUUUGCGAUGGUUAAUUUUACCAAUCCAGGAAUCUUGGGGGAUGCUGCAUAUUUUCGACGAUACUAUGAGUCACAGAUCAUUUCUGGAAGAGAACCUACAUCAACAGAAGAAGAGAGAAAUCUUAGCGUUGAGCGAUCUGCUGAAUUAAGCACAAAAGUAAAUCAGUUUAUUUUGAGGAGGACCAAUGCUUUGCUAUCAAAUCAUCUACCACCAAAGAUAGUUGAAGUUGUCUGUUGCAAGUUGAGUCCUCUUCAGUCAGAGUUAUAUAACCAUUUUAUACAUUCCAAAAAUGUUAAGCGAGCAAUAUCUGAAGAGGCGAAACAAUCAAAAUUUUUGGCAUAUAUCACUGCUUUGAAAAAGCUUUGCAACCAUCAUAAGCUUAUCUAUAAUACGAUCAAAAGUGGGUCAGGAACGUCGGGAUUUGAGGAUUGCAUUUGCUUUUUUCCUCCUGCAAUGUUUUUUGGAAGAUCUGGAGCAUGGACUGGUGGUGAUGGGGUUUGGGUUGAACUUUCUGGGAAGAUGCAUGUUUUAGCUCGGUUGCUGGCCCAAUUGCGUAGCAAAACUGAUGACCGUAUUGUUCUUGUUUCCAACUAUACUCAGCAAGAAAUCAGGUGGGCAGAAGUUAGCUUCUUAUGGGCCUCCUUAGAGAUGAUUCACUAAUUUUGGUUUACUCACCAUGGAAUCAUCCGCACCGGAGUUACCAAUCUACAAAAAGCUGGGUGUUUAUGAACCUCCUAUUUCCAUAUAUGUGGUGGCCGUUAAAUCUUCAAUUUGGUUUUAGUUAUAAUCGGCGUUUGUAGAGCAUUGCAUGAAGUAGAGAGGAGUUAAAGACAUACUUGAAGAGUCCUCAUCCGCUGGUUUUGGUAGGUUAUUGGUUUGUUGGUUGCUUCGACGGCUUCUUUUUGAAGGAAUUUUAGAAAAACAUUUUUCCGAAACUCCAUUGGCAGAAGUAUCCACAUUUGUUAAAGACAUACUUGAAGAAUCCUCAUUAGCUGAUUUUGGUACAGAUGAGAGGAUUUGAAGGGAAUGUGGUCAAUGUGUGUAAACAUGGAAACAUGCCAGUAAUAAUGGAUUCCUUUGCAAAGGGUAAUUCCCAAAAAUAUUAGGAAAAGAAUACUUUUUGACUAAUUACAAUUAGUCGAAAGCAGCGGCAAGAAAAUUACUAUUAAUUGGAAAAUAUGAAAACUCCUAUGCUGAGGGUAAUUCCCAAGAAUAGGAAAAGAAGACUUUUUGACUAAUUACAAUUAGUCAAAAGCAGGAAAAUGAAUUCUUUUUUGUUUUCGGUUAAACAUGAGAAGAGAGGUGAACAUGGGACGGGCCAACUAUAUUUAGUUGGCAUUUAAUUCUAUAUAUGUUUGCCAACAUAAG